rnacentral:rRNA from 1 species
GACGAACGCUGGCGGCGUGCUUAACACAUGCAAGUCGAACGGAAAGGCCCUGCUUUUGUGGGGUGCUCGAGUGGCGAACGGGUGAGUAACACGUGAGUAACCUGCCCUUGACUUUGGGAUAACUUCAGGAAACUGGGGCUAAUACCGGAUAGGAGCUCCUGCUGCAUGGUGGGGGUUGGAAAGUUUCGGCGGUUGGGGAUGGACUGGCGGCUUAUCAGCUUGUUGGUGGGGUAGUGGCUUACCAAGGCUUUGACGGGUAGCCGGCCUGGGAGGGUGACCGGGCACAAUGGGACUGAGAUACGGCGCAGACUCCUACGGGAGGCAGCAGUGGGGAAUAUUGCACAAUGGGCGGAAGCGUGAGGCAGCAGCGCCGCGUGCGGGAUGACGGCUUUCGGGUUGUAAACCGCUUUCGCCUGUGACGAAGCGGGAGUGACGGUAAUGGGUAAAGGAGCACCGGCUAACUACGUG